UACGUAGGGGGCGAGCGUUGUCCGGAUUCAUUGGGCGUAAAGAGCGUGUAGGCGGCCAGGUAGGUCGGUUGUGAAAACUGGAGGCUCAACCUUCAGAGGUCGACCGAAACCAUCUGGCUAGAGUGCGGGAGAGGAGAGUGGAAUUCCUGGUGUAGCGGUGAAAUGCGCAGAUAUCAGGAGGAACACCGGUGGCGAAGGCGGUUCUCUGGGCAUGGCCUGACGCUGAGGAGCGAAAGUGUGGGGAGCGAACAGG
rnacentral:rRNA from 1 species